UGGGGAAUUUUGGACAAUGGGCGCAAGCCUGAUCCAGCCAUGCCGCGUGCAGGAUGAAGGCCUUCGGGUUGUAAACUGCUUUUGUACGGAACGAAAAGGCUUUCUCUAAUAAAGAGGGCUCAUGACGGUACCGUAAGAACAAGCACCGGCUAACUACGUGCCAGCAGCCGCGGUAAUACGUAGGGUGCAAGCGUUAAUCGGAAUUACUGGGCGUAAAGCGUGCGCAGGCGGUCGUGCAAGACCGAUGUGAAAUCCCCGGGCUUAACCUGGGAACUGCAUUUGUGACUGCACGGCUGGAGUGCGGCAGAGGGGGAUGGAAUUCCGCGUGUAGCAGUGAAAUGCGUAGAUAUGCGGAGGAACACCGAUGGCGAAGGCAAUCCCCUGGGCCUGCACUGACGCUCAUGCACGAAAGCGUGGGGAGCAAA
rnacentral:rRNA from 1 species